rnacentral:tRNA from 1 species
UCCCUGGUGGUUCAGUGGCUAAGACUCUGCACUCCCAAUGCAGGGGGCCUGGGGUUCGAUCCCGGUCAGGGAA